GACGAACGCUGGCGGCGUGCUUAACACAUGCAAGUCGAACGGUAAGGCCCUUUCGGGGGUACACGAGUGGCGAACGGGUGAGUAACACGUGGGUGAUCUGCCCUGCACUUUGGGAUAAGCCUGGGAAACUGGGUCUAAUACCGGAUAGGACUACGCGAUGCAUGUCGUGUGGUGGAAAGCUUUUGCGGUGUGGGAUGGGCCCGCGGCCUAUCAGCUUGUUGGUGGGGUGAUGGCCUACCAAGGCGACGACGGGUAGCCGGCCUGAGAGGGUGUCCGGCCACACUGGGACUGAGAUACGGCCCAGACUCCUACGGGAGGCAGCAGUGGGGAAUAUUGCACAAUGGGCGCAAGCCUGAUGCAGCGACGCCGCGUGGGGGGUGACGGCCUUCGGGUUGUAAACCCCUUUCAGCACAGACGAAGCGUAAGUGACGGUAUGUGCAGAAGAAGCACCGGCCAACUACGUG
rnacentral:rRNA from 1 species